rnacentral:misc_RNA from 1 species
UGGGCAUAUUACUAUUAAGCUAUAGUUAGUAAUGUUAGAAUCCUAAAAUCUAAAAUUGUACUUACUAUUAAACAAAUCUUAAUUAAAUAUUAAGCUGAAUACUACCAAACACUUGUUAAAGAUUUAUUUUUUCUAAAUUUUAAACUAAAAAUUUACCUCAACUUCAAAAACUUUUUCAUUUAAAAAUAAAAGCAAUAAGAAUAAUCAAUAAAAUUAGCCUUAAUUUAUCUUUCUAUUUAAAAGAGACUAAUCCAAGCCAUACUGGAAAGUACGAGCUUCUUGUUACGACUUCACCCCCA